UGCCAGCAGCCGCGGUAAAACGUAGGGGGCCAGCGUUGCUCGGAAUUACUGGGCGUAAAGGGUCCGUAGGCGGUGUGGCAAGUCGGAAGUGAAAUCUCUGGGCUUAACCCAGAGGCUGCUUCCGAAACUGCCAUGCUAGAGUGUGAGAGAGGCGAGUGGAAUUACGGGUGUAGCGGUGAAAUGCGUAGAUAUCCGUAGGAACAUCCGAGGCGAAGGCGGCUCGCUGGAUCACAACUGACGCUGAGGGACGAAAGCUAGGGGAGCAAACAGGAUUAGAUACCCUAGUAGUCCUAGCCCUAAACCAUCAGGACUUGGGGUUUGCCCUGUACGGGGCAAGUCCCGUAGCUAACGCGUUAAGUCCUGCGCCUGGGGAGUACGGUCGCAAGACUAAACUCAAA
rnacentral:rRNA from 1 species